rnacentral:rRNA from 1 species
AUUGAACGCUGGCGGCAGGCCUAACACAUGCAAGUCGAACGGUAACAGGAAGCAGCUUGCUGCUUCGCUGACGAGUGGCGGACGGGUGAGUAAUGUCUGGGAAACUGCCUGAUGGAGGGGGAUAACUACUGGAAACGGUAGCUAAUACCGCAUAACGUCGCAAGACCAAAGAGGGGGACCUUAGGGCCUCUUGCCAUCGGAUGUGCCCAGAUGGGAUUAGCUAGUAGGUGGGGUAACGGCUCACCUAGGCGACGAUCCCUAGCUGGUCUGAGAGGAUGACCAGCCACACUGGAACUGAGACACGGUCCAGACUCCUACGGGAGGCAGCAGUGGGGAAUAUUGCACAAUGGGCGCAAGCCUGAUGCAGCCAUGCCGCGUGUAUGAAGAAGGCCUUCGGGUUGUAAAGUACUUUCAGCGGGGAGGAAGGGAGUAAAGUUAAUACCUUUGCUCAUUAACGUUACCCGCAGAAGAAGCACCGGCUAACUCCGUG